rnacentral:lncRNA from 1 species
CCUCACUUCGUCUCUCUCACUCUCUCUCUUACCCCUCUGAACCACCGUCGUUGGCCGCCGUCGAAAAUCACCCCACGGCGGCGGCGAUACUCCAAACCACCCCAAAAUUUACCCCUAUAAUCCCUAGCUCCUCCUAAUCAAUGCCCUACCAUUAAUUUCUCAAGAAUCCCAAUAGAUUUCCCCAAAUUUUGAAUCUAAAAAUUCCAAAGAAACCUAAUUUUUCCUUUUCUGAUUUUUGCGCGAUUUCAACUCGUUUUGACCUAGAACUGACGUUAAUCGAUUGCUUUCAAUAAGAGCAAUCAAUUGACAUUAGUUUUAGUUCAUUUCGAAGUCAAUAGUUUUUGACCAAUUCACCACUGGCCGACCAAACUUUAUCGUCUUCGUCAUUCAUUGGCUUGCCUCGUUCGUCGUCACAUUCAUGGCCAAAAUAGUAUAUUUUCCUCCUCAUAUCUCUUUGUUUCUGUUUCUUCAUUUUUCUUUUUCAUUUAGGUUUUAAUCUUGUUUGUUUUGUUUGUUGAUUCGUUUAAAUUUUAAUAAAAUAGGCUUAUUUAGUUAAUUGCAUUGAUUAAGUGUAGUUACAUGUGCUUAGGUUAGUUAAAUCAGUCCUGUUCAGCUUGGUAGAUUAAUUAAGGGAUUGCUUCUAUUUCAGAUUGUUUUGUUUUGGUCUAUCUCUGAUUUGGACUUAAUUGUUUUAGUUUAGAGGUUUGAAUUCCAAGUGGAAUGGAAGGGGGUUUGAAAGGGUAAUAUUGAAAACCUUAAAGGGUUAAUUGGAAACCAAUUCAGGGAAUCCAAGGCUAGAAUGGCCUAGAUGGUUCUAGAGGGGGUUAAGGGGUAAUCAAACAAUCAAAAUUUAGGUCAAAUUGAUUAAAAUUACAAUAAUCAGUAAUUGAAAGGUUAAAAUUGGGUUUUACAUAGGGUAAAUAUCAGAAGGUUCUAGGUCUUGGCAGUUGUCCCUAUCCUUAGCAUGAAAAUGUUGAUAAUGGGUGGGAAAAGGGACAGACAGCUGUAAAAAGAUGUUGUACUAUUCUGAAAUUUCAGAAUUUAGGUUAGAAUAUUCUAUUUUGAUGCCUCCUUUGUGCACUCUAUAAAAAGAAAAGUAUUCAUUCAUACUCACACAUAGAGAUUCAUCAGCAUUUUUAGCAUAAAAAGUUUCUGAAAACACACAAUCAGAUUUUUAGAACCCUAGAAAAAUACAAAGAGCUUCUGCAUUACAUUCACUGAAAUUUAGCUCGAAUUAUUCUCUGAUUUUUCUUUCAUUAAGAACUUAAAAAGUUUUCAUGGCAAUUUCUUGUUUUCUAAGCUGAAGUAUGGCUGGUUAUUAAAGCUGUGGUUUUGAUUAUCACUAUUGCUCCUUGCUGUUAGUUUUUUGUUAAUUGUUCAUCUUGGCUGAUUCCAGAGCUUUCUUUUAUUUUUGUUAUUGCUGUAUCCAGGUACCUUCACAGACAAUGAAAUGCAAAAACAUGAAGCUAUAAUAUGCUGG